CCUACGGGAGGCAGCAGUGGGGAAUCUUAGACAAUGGGCGCAAGCCUGAUCUAGCCAUGCCGCGUGAGCGAUGAAGGCCUUAGGGUUGUAAAGCUCUUUCGUGGGGGAAGAUAAUGACGGUACCCCAAGAAGAAGCCCCGGCUAACUCCGUGCCAGCAGCCGCGGUAAUACGGAGGGGGCUAGCGUUAUUCGGAAUUACUGGGCGUAAAGCGCACGUAGGCGGAUUGGAAAGUCAGAGGUGAAAUCCCAGAGCUCAACUUUGGAACUGCCUUUGAAACUCCCAGUCUUGAGGUCGAGAGAGGUGAGUGGAAUUCCGAGUGUAGAGGUGAAAUUCGUAGAUAUUCGGAGGAACACCAGUGGCGAAGGCGGCUCACUGGCUCGAUACUGACGCUGAGGUGCGAAAGCGUGGGGAGCAAACAGGAUUAGAUACCCGUGGUAGUCCACGCCGUAAACGAUGAAUGCCGAGUCGGUACGGGUAGCAUGUCGUACGUUACGGUACGACACCGUACCGUAACGGUAACGUAACGUACUACGUUCCGUCCGGUCGGGUACGGUACCGGACCGACGUAACGUUAAACCGUAACGUAAGUAGUAGUAGACGCGUGAGACGUCGACCGACGACGACGACGAGGAG
rnacentral:rRNA from 1 species